CGCAUAAUUUUCGACAAAAUCAAGUAAUGAUUGCGAUUUUCGUGUGUCUAGACUUGUUUCGACGCUGGAGAACAGGUGCAUUACGUGCUGCAUGUAAAGUAGAGUGAAAAAAGCGUUUAACCGUCGAAAUAUCUCAAACGGGAGGGUAAUAUCUCUUAAUUUUCGUCAAAAUCGAAGAAUGGUUGCGAUUUGCGUGUGUCUGGGUUUGUUUCGCAGCUGGAAAACGCGUGCAGUACGUUCUGCAUUUAGAAUGGAGUGAAACGAGCGUUUAAACGUCCAAAUAUCACAAACGGGAGGGAAAUAGUGCUUUAUUUUCGACAAAAUCGU
rnacentral:misc_RNA from 1 species